UAAAGAUUGCACUUUCUUCUCUCC
rnacentral:siRNA from 1 species